GACGAACGCUGGCGGCGUGCUUAACACAUGCAAGUCACGGGGGCCCCGCAAGGGGUAACCGGCGAACGGGUGCGUAACACGUGAGCGACCUGCCUUUCCGCGGGGGAUAGCCGGCCCAACGGCCGGGUAAUACCGCAUACGCUUUCCGGGCCGCAUGGCCCGGUUCGGAAACCUCCGGGGCGGAGAGAGGGGCUCGCGACCUAUCAGCUAGUUGGCGAGGUAACGGCUCACCAAGGCGGCGACGGGUAGCUGGUCUGAGAGGAUGGCCAGCCACAUUGGGACUGAGAUACGGCCCAGACUCCUACGGGAGGCAGCAGUGGGGAAUAUUGCGCAAUGGCCUAACGGCUGACGCAGCGACGCCGCG
rnacentral:rRNA from 1 species